rnacentral:rRNA from 1 species
CCCGAGGCCCAACCUCGGAACUGCAUUGGAAACUGAUUUACUUGAGUGCGAUAGAGGCAAGUGGAACUCCAUGUGUAGCGGUGAAAUGCGUAGAUAUGUGGAAGAACACCAGUGGCGAAAGCGGCUUGCUAGAUCGUAACUGACGUUGAGGCUCGAAAGUAUGGGUAGCAAACGGGAUUAGAUACCCCGGUAGUCCAUACCGUAAAYGGGUGCUAGUUGUUAAGAGGUUUCCGCCUCCUAGUGACGUAGCAAACGCAUUAAGCACCCCGCCUGAGGAGUACGGCCGCAAGGCUAAAACUUAAAGGAAUUGACGGGGACCCGCACAAGCGGUGGAGCAUGUGGUUUAAUUCGAAGAUACGCGAAAAACCUUACCAGGUCUUGACAUACCAAUGAUCGCUUUUGUAAUGAAAGCUUUUCUUCGGAACAUUGGAUACAGGUGGUGCAUGGUCGUCGUCAGCUCGUGUCGUGAGAUGUUGGGUUAAGUCCCGCAACGAGCGCAACCCUUGUUAUUAGUUGCCAGCAUUUAGUUGGGCACUCUAAUGAGACUGCCGGUGAUAAACCGGAGGAAGGUGGGGACGACGUCAGAUCAUCAUGCCCCUUAUGACCUGGGCAACACACGUGCUACAAUGGGAAGUACAACGAGUCGCAAACUGGCGACGGCAAGCUAAUCUCUUAAAACUUCUCUCAGUUCGGACUGGAGUCUGCAACUCGACUCCACGAAGGCGGAAUCGCUAGUAAUCGCGAAUCAGCAUGUCGCGGUGAAUACGUUCCCGGGUCUUGUACACACCGCCCGUCAAAUCAUGGGAGUCGGAAGUACCCAAAGUCGCUUGGCUAACUUUUAGAGGCCGGUGCCUAAGGUAAAAUCGAUGACUGGGAUUAAGUCGUAACAAGGUAGCCGUAGGAGAACCUGCGGCUGGAUCACCUCCUUUCUAAGGA